CUUAAUGAGACAGAAUAGCAUGCCCAGUUCGAAAUAGAAUUCUUAACAAAAGCUCAAGGCAAGCUUGAGAGUCCAGCAGAGAGCAAGAAGAGUUGUAUGAGUUCUAGAAAUCUUGAGAGGAAUGACUAAAAGAAUUCUCUUUCUCUACCUCAAGUAGAGAAAGAGAAAAGCCAGGGAGAACACGACAGCAGCAGUGAGCAUCUGUCUGCCGUGUCCACCAAGAAAGGAACAGGCAGGAUAGAUGCUCAACUUGCAGCAAGGGAAGUGGAAGUUUGCUUUUUGCAGAGUAAUAUCCAAUCCUCUCCUACUCCUUCCUGCCAAAUGUUAAGGACAACCACGUACUUGAAUGGCUGGUGAUGGGAUUGCUGAAUGCAGUGCUCAGCAACCAGUUGUUUUACUUAAUUAAUGCAAAUUUAAUAGCCAGAUACAUAUGACUUUUUUAGAAUAACUAAUAAAUACCAUUUUGUGUAUGAGAGGUCACUAUCCUGCCAUCUAUUUGACAGGAGUCUCUCUGGUAACAAAGUUAAAUAUUCCAAAACAAUGCUCUCUGAAUACAGAUAUAAUCUACUGGCAGUGUUCUCAAAAAAAGCACCCAUACAACAGAGGACACUGUUGUGCACAACACAGGGAGUUUAAGAUGGAAAAAUGAAUGGAGUGUGUGUAGCAGUAACAGUAAAACAGGAACUCAUACUGGCAUGACUCACUGACCUCAGGUUUCAGUCUAGCAUUUACAAUGGACUUGAAGCAAAUGGCUUGAAACAUGCAAGAAUAGUGUUAGAACAGGAUCUGGAAUCUUCACAUUGUGACUUCUACCCCGUGCAGCAGACACGGCCUCUUCUCUAGGACAGAGAAGUACAUUAAGUCUUUCAUCUGAGGGUCAGAAUCUCUUUGCUGCUCUUCCUCCGCCCACACAGGAACACAUUAUCAUUCCUUGAAGGCUGCAAACCGCACACAGGGACUCAGAUCACAUGACAGGUGCCAUUCCGUUCUGUGGACCUACAUACUAAAUGCCACAUGAAGAAUCUCACUUCCCACCCAAACAGGGGCACAGAGGAUGUCAGGCACCUCACAGUGAAAUGGCAAGAACCAUAUUUUUGCUUGAAGUAACCAAAGAAUCAAACAAUAAGGCACAAACAAACAUUUGAGAUAGCUAGUCCUACUACAGUCUUUAAGAUGCAACCUGAGCAGACUUGUCACCAGAAAUCGCUUCUACGCCUGAAUGCAGCUGAAGAUUUCCUAGGAUAUAAAUGCUUCUGCUACCAA